UACAGAGGUCCCCAAGCGUUGUUCGGAUUCAUUGGGCGUAAAGGGUGCGUAGGCGGCGCGGUAAGUCGGGUGUGAAAUCUCGGAGCUUAACUCCGAAACUGCAUUCGAUACUGCCGUGCUUGAGGACUGGAGAGGAGACUGGAAUUUACGGUGUAGCGGUGAAAUGCGUAGAUAUCGUAAGGAAGACCAGUGGCGGAAGCGGGUCUCUGGACAGUUCCUGACGCUGAGG
rnacentral:rRNA from 1 species